ensembl:snoRNA small nucleolar RNA SNORD2
CAGUGAAAUGAUGCCUUAUCAUCUUUCGGGACUGACCAGUAAUGGAGAAGACUAUUGUAUCGACCUGAUCACGU